UAAUAAGUUUUUAAUGUUGUUUGAAAUAUUAACUAUAAUCAGAUAUAUAAUUUAGUAGCCAUGUGAUAUUAAAUGCUUUUUAAUAGCGAUAAGUUUUGCAUGGAUCCUGAUGUCUACUUUAGUAUAAAUGAUUUAAAUAAUCAAUUGACACAAUUUGCCUCACAUUUCAUUAUGUAUAUUUCUUCAUAGGAUCCAUUCUGGAACAGAAUGAAGAAGCCACUGCACCUUUUGGAUUGUAUACAUGUAUUAUUGAUAAGAUAUGUUGAGAAUCCCAGCCAAGUUUUAAAUUGUGAAAGGAGAAGAUUUACAAAUCUCUGCCUGGAUGCUGUUUGUGGUUACCUUGUUGAGCUCCAGUCUAUGAGCUCGUCAGUAGCAGUACAAGCCAUCACUGGGAAUUUUAAAUCUCUUCAAGCUAAAUUAGAACGGCUUCAUUAAUUACUGUGAUAUACUUUCAUCCGUUUUAUGAUCUGUAAAAUAAAAACUCAGCUGGGUCCAGAUAUCAGGUGUUCUAAAUCUAAGAAUGUAAGAACAAUCUUAAUAGAAAUAUGUUUUUAAUAAGUGGCUAAUAUCUACAAAUAGUACCUUUGCUAAAUGAAUUCUUUUUUAUGACUAUUUUGUUUUUUAGUAAUUGGGUGAAAAAACAACUGAAAUGAGAUUAUUUAUUAUUUUAACAUAAGGAUUAAAAAAAUUUAGAAACUCUUA
rnacentral:lncRNA from 1 species